AUAACAUAUACUUGUCUACUAGUUUGCUAAUCCUUGUGUCCCUGGAGCAUGUUCUAUGUGUUAAGAAGUUCUUAAAAACUCUAUACUUUAGUGGUUGCAUAUUUUUUAUAUGGGUUGCUUUAGGGAUCUUAUAAGAAUUAGUAAUUAAUAAAAAAGGUUCUUAUCAUUCAUUGUUUUCCUUAUAUUGUUAUAUAAUCCUCUUACAACAUUUUUUUUUAGUUGCGUG
rnacentral:misc_RNA from 1 species